UAGGGGAAAAUACCUAAACAUUGCAUGUCGCGCGGGCAGUAGCAAUACUGUUAGCGGCGGACGGGUGAGGAACACAUAGGAAUCUGCCUCAGAGCGGGGGAUAGCCCAGGGAAACUUGGAGUAAUACCGCAUGAUGUCGCAAGACCAAAGCUGGGGACCGCAAGGCCUAGCACUCUGAGAGGAGCCUAUGUCUGAUUAGCUAGUUGGUAGGGUAAAGGCCUACCAAGGCGACGAUCAGUAACUGGUCUGAGAGGACGAUCAGUCACACCGGAACUGAGACACGGUCCGGACUCCUACGGGAGGCAGCAGUGGGGAAUAUUGGACAAUGGGCGCAAGCCUGAUCCAGCAAUGCCGCGUGUGUGAAGAAGGCCUUCGGGUUGUAAAGCACUUUAAGCAGGGAAGAAAAAACUCGGUCUAAUACAUCGAGUCUUGACGGUACCUGAAGAAUAAGCACCGGCUAACUCUGUGCCAGCAGCCGCGGUAAUACAGAGGGUGCUAGCGUUAAUCGGAUUUACUGGGCGUAAAGCGUGUGUAGGUGGUUGUUCAAGUCAGUUGUGAAAUCCCUGGGCUUAACCUGGGAACUGCUUCUGAGACUGAACGACUAGAGUACGGUAGAGGGUGGUGGAAUCUCCGGUGUAGCGGUGAAAUGCGUAGAUAUCGGAAGGAACAUCAAUGGCGAAGGCAGCCMCCUGGGCCUGUACUGACACUGAGACACGAAAGCGUGGGGAUCAAACAGGAUUAGAUACCCUGGGAAGUCCACGCCGUAAACGAUGAGAACUUGACGUCCGGUUUGCUCUGCAAGUCGRUGUCUGAAGCUUACCCAAUAAGUCUCCCGACCUGGGGAGUACGGCCCACAAGGUUKACACUUCAAGAGGUAAUUGACGGGGGGGUCCGACCCAAGUUCG
rnacentral:rRNA from 1 species